CCCCACAAGGUCAAAGAGUGAGAAGCAACAUGACCUCAGCCAACCAGCUCAAUAAUUUCAAGUACUGCUUAGAAACAGCCAAAACUGCUAAUAAAUUAUUAGCCUAAAGUACAUAGAUUUACCAUUCAAUUCUACAGUUCCUCAUUUCUAUUUUUUUUCCCUUUGCCUAAAGAUGACAUUCAAGCAAAAUUAAGGCGGCAAAAAUUCAGAUCAGAAAGAAUUCUAUAUAAUAAUUUUAAAAUCUGUAAACUGAAAUCAACAAGAACCAAUAUUGCUACAAGAUCAUUUAACUUCCUACCAAAUCUCUGGCCAAGGAUUAAAUAAAGUGGCUAGAAGAAAAAAUAAAGAAAGAAAUUUCUAUGCUCUUUCAACCGUCCAUGUCUAAGAAAAAUACAAAGAAGAUAAAUGUUCCUAUAAAUCCAAAGAUCCUUUUGUUAGCUGAAGAUGUAGGAAUCGGAAAAGUAAAUUUAAAUCCAGGAAAGGAGAUAUUAAAAGUAAAUUAAAGACCUUUAUUAAUAGAAAUACAACAACUUGGCUACCGUAACCCUUUCUCCCCUCUUCAUCAGCAAUUAAAGACCCAACAGCCAAUAGCCAACAGGAAACUAGAAUGCCCAUCACCCAAAAUUACAUACAAGCUCUGGUAAUAACAUAAUCAAUAAGGAAGCAUAAAACAUUUAACUCAGUUCAGCUGAGUACAAUUCUUUAAUUCUCUGAACCCAAAAAAUAAAAAUUACAGAACUUCAUUUCCUUUAUCAACCCUACCUACCACAGGAAUAAAAAAAAUUAGAGGAAAAAGGAAAAUAAAAUCUAGCGGCUGAACAGAGCAAGAUUCAAAACCACCAAACUCAUCCAAGGGUAACACGCAAAACUGAGAAAAUCGAUCAAUAUAAAUCCAAUAUCAAAACUACCAAGCAUAUCACCGCUCAGAACUACCAAUACCCAUGAACCACAAAAGGCAGAACAUAAAAACCGAACAUCCGAGAAUCCAUUUCCCUUUCUUUACCUCAAUCUCGAUUCAGAAUUAAUAAAACCCAUGAAAAACCAGAAGCAAAAUACUAAAAUAGAAGUAUUUUCAGCUAAGAAUACGUAUAAAAAUGAGAGAGGAAAACCUUUGAUGAUUUGCUUCCACUCUUGGACAACCUCAGACCGUGUGAAGAUGGUGUAGGUGUCAUUGGCCUUGAGUCCCAGUUUGCAGGUGAAAGCAAAGCAGCAUCAGAUAGUCUCUCACUUGCAGGUGGUUGUAAGUCCUCUAGAGUUCUUGGUGCAUACGCACAAAGAUUUAAACCCAAAGCUAAUUUUGCUUUUCUCCAUUUGCUUCCCAUUUUGAUUGAACUUGAACCACAACUUGAAAUCUUCCAAAGAUUCAAGAACCAGAGCAAGAAUCCAAGAAGUAGAAUUUAACAACUCAAAGAAACCAAAAGCAAGAACGAACAAAAACAGACAGAUCUCAAAGUGCUUUGAGCCAAGCUGCUUUCUUUGUUUUCUGUUUUCUUCUAUCUUGGAAGGGGAGAGACAAUGGGUUUUUAACAAAAGAUGAAAUUGAACACGAAAA
rnacentral:misc_RNA from 1 species